GCCUGUGAUAGCUCAGUUGGUAGAGCACAAGACUUUUAACCUCAAGGGUUGUGGGUUUGAGCCCCAUGUUGGGUA